AACGAGACUAGAGUCACAUCCCGACACCCUCUCAUUGUCCUGGUGUGCUAGAGUCCUCGCAGAUCAAACUCUCUGCUUAUUCAUUGGCUGAAGCGACACUAGCCCAGCCAAUCACCAGCUUGGAGACAUUC